CUGUGGACAUAAGUGACAUUGGGCCAAAUGUAUCGAUCUCUGUGUACAGCUUGCUUUUGGACCAUGUGUACGCACCAUCCCGUGAUUUGUGUAUGGAUGUUUUUCGUCAGUUAUCAAACACAAUGGACACACAAUUGGUUGGAAUAGCAUGUACAUCUUCCAGGGAAACCUCCUCAAAGGCGCGCCUGUGGAUGUACUCCAAAGUCUUGUGCUGGUUUAUUACAAUCAGCUGCAAUAGAGCACUUGAUUGCCGUCUUUACACACCAACUGUGGAUGACUACAAGAUCUGCACUUUGUCCACGCUGAAUUGUUUUGCAGAAGAGGUGAAAGUCCUGGACAUGGAGAUAGAGGAUAGAACUUUGCGAGUGGUCUUUGCUUUAAGGAAAAGACUGAAGAAACUGACACUUAAUAUCAAUGAAAAGUUGAAGAAUAAGACACAAAUACAGUGUCCACCUUGUGAGAUCCAUACUGAACAAGCUGCAGCCGUGUUCUUAGAGGCACUUAACUCUGUUUUGCAGUAUCAGUGUUCAGCUGAUCCCAUGGACACUUAAGGACUGUGUUUAUUGUUAUUCUGAUCUAUGCCUCAAAUGGAUUGCUCUCAAUAUAUUAUGAAGUCAACAUUGAUAGAGCUACCUUCUGUAAUGACUGCAUUGUAUUGAAAUAAGAGAAAUAUAGUUCAAUAUUAUUCUAACUUUAUGGUAUUUGUAUGUAUAAUACCCUUGCAAUACAGUUACAAUACCCUCUGACUGGAGCUAACACUAAACAUUUGUGUUCUUAGUUGUGAAACACCUUAAGGCAUGGCUCGUGACUAGCAGAUUAACUACUAACAGUUAAAUUGUACAUUAAAAUUCAAUUUGAUGGAAUAUGGUCAUUUGAAUGAUAGCUAAACACACCUUUCAUCCUUACUACUCUUGCAUAUUUAGUCCCCACAACCUCUCUGUAUAGUUCUGUGGUCCAGGUCAGAAACCCAACUAAAAUCUAUGAAAGGUUUUCAUAGCAUACAGUAAAUUUGCUAUAAAGCAGCAUUGUGACUUGAAGCAGGGGCAAUUUAUAUUGUUUCUAAUAUUUUAAUAUAAGAUUUACUGAAUUAAAGCAACUUAGAAGAACAUAAUAUUUCAUACUUUAUUUUAUGGGAAAAUCUUGUUGAAAAUGUAUGUAUCAAGUAUGAAACAGCAAGUAUUUAAAGAAAAUAUAUCAAGUAGGAAAUAUGAUACAAGGUAAGGUUAAGGAUAAUUUAUCUCUAAAUCCCUCCAUUGUCAUUGUCUAAUGUAUUGCAAUUCAUGACGCUAGCUAUGACAGAAUGAUCAUAUCUCAUCAACUCUUUGAUGAUGCAAAACUUGGUAAAUGGACUUAUGAUCCCUUCCUGAGGUAAUGCACAAAUGUUGCAUUAUUUGACCACUGGGGACACUGUAAUAAGAAAAAACAAUUGACAAGGCAAAUUAAAAAGGUUGAAAAAGGUUCCUGUUUGGAAAAAAAAACAUUAUUUGUUUUUGUUUCUAAAAUAUGCUUUUGUGCAACCACUAACCACGCCAGCACACCAGUGAUAGAUAAAGGCCCGGUGUCUGUAUUUUGUCAAAAGAUCCAAUAAACACUAAUUAAACACUACUUAAAAGAUUAUA
ensembl:lncRNA